UACGUAGGGCCCAAGCGUUAUCCGGAAUCACUGGGCGUAAAGCGUGCGUAGGUGGCGCGUUAAGUGAGAUGUUAAAUCGUGUGGCUCAACCAUAUCGAUGCAUCUCAUACUGGCGUGCUAGAGGACAGCAGAGGCAAGUGGAAUUUGUAGUGUAGCAGUGAAAUGCGUAGAUAUUACAAGGAACACCAAUGGCGAAGGCAGCUUGCUGGGCUACUCCUGACACUGAGGUACGAAAGCGUGGGGAGCGAACAGG
rnacentral:rRNA from 1 species